rnacentral:rRNA from 1 species
GACGAACCGUGCGAACGUUGUUCGGAAUCACUGGGCUUAAAGGGCGCGUAGGCGGGCCCGCAAGUCAGGGGUGAAAUCCCACGGCUCAACCGUGGAAGUGCCUUUGAUACUGCGGGCCUCGAGGGAGGUAGGGGCGUGCGGAACUUCCGGUGGAGCGGUGAAAUGCGUAGAUAUCGGAAGGAACACCGGUGGCGAAAGCGGCGCGCUGGACCUCUUCUGACGCUGAGGCGCGAAAGCCAGGGGAGCAAACGGG